AACGAACGCUGGCGGCAGGCCUAACACAUGCAAGUCGAGCGAGGACUUCGGUCCUAGCGGCGGACGGGUGAGUAACGCGUGGGAACGUGCCCUUUGCUUCGGAAUAGCCCUGGGAAACUGGGAGUAAUACCGGAUGAGCCCUUUGGGGGAAAGAUUUAUCGGCGAAGGAUCGGCCCGCGUUGGAUUAGGUAGUUGGUGGGGUAAUGGCCUACCAAGCCGACGAUCCAUAGCUGGUUUGAGAGGAUGAUCAGCCACACUGGGACUGAGACACGGCCCAGACUCCCCCGGGAGGCAGCAGUGGGGAAUCUUAGGCAACGGGGGAAACCCUGAUCUAGCCAUGCCGCGUGAGCGAUGAAGGCCUUAGAGUUGUAAAGCUCUUUCAGCUGGGAAGAUAAUGACGGUACCAGCAGAAGAAGCCCCGGCUAACUCCGUG
rnacentral:rRNA from 1 species